UAAGAUUCUAUAAAGUGUUUGCUUCCGAGUUUGAGGUAUUUCUGGCUGCAUUAUCUAGAAGAGCCUGCUGUACCAUGAUACUCAUGAUCAGCACAUCAGAUGAUAACUUUAACAGUCCUCUGACUGCACAGGCAGCAGCCUAGUACCUCACCCUUUACUAUCAAAAGGCCACAGUUUUCCCCACAGUGACUUCCUUUCAACAACUGCAAUGCAGCACAAAGACAAAAGAAGAGAUGUAAUCACUAAUUCUCUUUGAGAACUGCAUGGGGGUUCCAGCUCAGGAUUCCCAAAGAAUAAAAGAGAAGACAUGAAAAGAAUUGAUGUUUAGGCCAUUCAGAAACUGGAACAGAGGAAUCCUUAGCUUUACAUCUGAGGAGAGUAGGUUGAACUGCAUACCAUCCUGGACACACUAACCACAUGACACAAACAGGUUUUUCCACCACUACACUCUCUGGGCUGAGGAAGCCAUGCCUCCUCACCCCUGCUGGGCAUGCUCCAAGUGGAACCAGAGUAUAAAAAGGAGUAGAUCAUCUCAGUCUGGGCUGGCCACUGAUGAGAGCAGACAUGUGUUGCAGGCUCCCAUUGGGAGAUUGCCAGAACUCCAGGACACAGAAGCCAACUGGGUUGAGACAUCAGUGGACCGUGGAUGGAGGAAAGACAGCAGAGGCCAUGAGACUACCAGUGGUGGAAGGAAGAGUAGGAAGCAGCACAGGAAAUGUGACGGUAGUAUUGAGUGACUGAGGCUGAUUAUAGAAACCUUGGUUCCUUAGCACCCUGUGCUGGGACCCAGUGGAGAAGGGUGGGCCCAGGUUCCCUCACCCCAGCAGCCCUGCCACUGGGACAGCCGAUGCCUGGAGGGGCAAACUUAACCAUUAUGUGGACUUGGAUUGCUAGGCCAGGCUGUCCUGAACCGAAGGACAGCCCCACUGAUUCUGGCCAUUGGGCCACGCUGCCCUGAGCUGCAGGGACACUACCUAAAUCCUGGCCACUUGGGCCACCAAAUAGCCAUUUUGAUAACCCCCACAAUCCGACACCCUGUGAUGGUGUGUACCUACCCCGGGACAGGCUCUCUUUCUCUGCACUACAUGCCCCUUCUCUUUCCUCUUAAUUCUUUGCACCUCCCAGGCUCAGCACUUGCAUGUGCUUAC